UACGGAGGGUGCGAGCGUUGUCCGGAAUCACUGGGCGUAAAGGGCGCGUAGGCGGUCUGCUAAGCGUGUGGUGAAAGCUCGGGGCUCAACCCCGAGUCUGCCAUGCGAACUGGUGGACUUGAGCACUGUAGAGGCAGGUGGAAUUCCGGGUGUAGCGGUGGAAUGCGUAGAGAUCCGGAAGAACACCAGUGGCGAAGGCGGCCUGCUGGGCAGUUGCUGACGCUAAAGCGCGACAGCGUGGGGAGCAAACAGG
rnacentral:rRNA from 1 species